rfam:Vibrio nigripulchritudo str. SFn1 chromosome, complete genome.
GCCCAAAAAGAGCCCAGAACGAUUCCUGUUCUGGGCUAGGGGAAUGGCUCUUUUGUAAAGAGCCUGCGCUAAUUGCUUUUACUAAAGCAUAGUACACACAGGCUCAAAUACCACCAU